GUCGCUCCAACAGCACUUUGCCUCCUUACACUCCUUACACAGGAGCCAUCCAACUGCUGCUGGCCUGGUCUUUUUCCUCUAAAGCAGCCGCUUUAUGCCAGUACUCUUUGUAAAAAGGCACUAACCUGGACUUGUGUAUAGAUGGCUGCUGUGUGCUGGAUGGUUGUGGCUCUGGCCUUCUUCCUGUCUGCAGGGACCGGUGUGGAUGCCGUGGACCAGAACCAGCUUCAGACGAUUGUAGCAGACAUCUUGGGAAGGUACAGAAUAGGUGGCCAAUUCAGUCUGGCUGUAAACAUCCCACUGAGCAAUACUCAGGACCUUCAAACUGCUUUGAAGCAAGUCUUUGAUGCUGACCCUGGGGCCACCGUGUCACGUACAGUUUCAGGUGGUCAAGUGUACACCGGUACCUGGGUAGUAGC